rnacentral:sRNA from 1 species
GGACUUGGUCUGGCUCCCAAUAGAGCAGUACCGGAAGGAUGGCCGCAUUGUCAGAGGGUUUCAGAGAGGCGCUGCUUCCUUUGGUACCUCGACAGCGAUGGCUGCUCUAGAACUCACAAACAGAAUGGUUCAAACCAUACAGGCAGCUGCAGAGACUGCUUAUGAUAUGGUGUCUCCUGGUACCCUUUCUAUCGAGCCCAAGAAGACCAAAAGGUUUCCUCAUUACCGGUUAGCCCACCAGCCAGUAGACCUGAGGGAAGGUGUGGCCAAGGCCUACAGUGUUGUGAAAGAGGUAAUUGAAUACUUGGGUGGACACAUCAGAACCCUUCUGUGUGCUUUCCCAACUUUCACCUAAAGAGCAUUUAAUGGCUUAAAUUUAUUCUGUAGAAAUCCCUGGGAGCAGAAUGGCAACUGCCGCUAAUAACGUGCCCAUAUUUGUGUGAGGUGACGGAAAAGGGCCAGUCUGGGACCAAUAGGCUGACAGGAAGAC